AUUGAACGCUGGCGGCAGGCUUAACACAUGCAAGUCGAGCGGAGAUGAGGUGCUUGCACCUUAUCUUAGCGGCGGACGGGUGAGUAAUGCUUAGGAAUCUGCCUAUUAGUGGGGGACAACAUUCCGAAAGGAAUGCUAAUACCGCAUACGUCCUACGGGAGAAAGCAGGGGAUCUUCGGACCUUGCGCUAAUAGAUGAGCCUAAGUCGGAUUAGCUAGUUGGUGGGGUAAAGGCCUACCAAGGCGACGAUCUGUAGCGGGUCUGAGAGGAUGAGCCGCCACACUGGGACUGAGACACGGCCCAGACUCCGACGGGAGGCAGCAGUGGGGAAUAUUGGACAAUGGGGGGAACCCUGAUCCAGCCAUGCCGCGUGUGUGAAGAAGGCCUUAUGGUUGUAAAGCACUUUAAGCGAGGAGGAGGCUACUGAGACUAAUACUCUUGGAUAGUGGACGUUACUCGCAGAAUAAGCACCGGCUAACUCUGUGCCAGCAGCCGCCGUAACAC
rnacentral:rRNA from 1 species